GAUGAAGAACGCAGCGAAAUGCGAUAAGUAAUGUGAAUUGCAGAAUUCAGUGAAUCAUCGAAUCUUUGAAUGCACCUUGCGCCCUUUGGCUAUUCCGAAGGGCAUGCCUGUUUGAGUAUCAUGAACACCUCAACUCUCAUGGUUUGCCAUGAUGAGCUUGGACUUUGGGGGUCUUGCCGGCCUAUGGGUCGGCUCCUCUCAAAUUAAUCAGCUUGCCAGUGUUUGGUGGCAUCACAGGUGUGAUAACUAUCUACGCUUGUGGUUUUCCAUCAGGUAACCUUCAGUGAUGGAGGUUCGCUGGGGCUCAUAAAUGUCUCUCCUCAGUGAGGACAGCUUUUUUGAACGUUUGAUCUCAAAUCAGGUAGGACUACCCGCUGAACUUAAGCAUAUCAAUAAGCGGAGGA
rnacentral:misc_RNA from 1 species